AUCUAGCUGACGAGUCCCAAGUAGAACGAAAUGCUUAUCCAUGAU
rfam:Schistosoma rodhaini strain Burundi genome assembly, scaffold: SROB_scaffold0015065